rnacentral:rRNA from 1 species
GCGAAUGGCUCAUUAUAUAAGUUAUCGUUUAUUUGAUAGUACCUUACUACUUGGAUAACCGUGGUAAUUCUAGAGCUAAUACAUGCUAAAAAUCCCGACUUCGGAAGGGAUGUAUUUAUUAGAUUAAAAACCAAUGCCCUUCGGGGCUCACUGGUGAUUCAUGAUAACUCCUCGAAUCGCAUGGCCUUGUGCCGGCGAUGGUUCAUUCAAAUUUCUUCCCUAUCAACUUUCGAUGUUUGGGUAUUGGCCAAACAUGGUUGCAACGGGUAACGGAGGGUUAGGGCUCGACCCCGGAGAAGGAGCCUGAGAAACGGCUACUACAUCCAAGGAAGGCAGCAGGCGCGCAAAUUACCCAAUCCCGACACGGGGAGGUAGUGACAAUAAAUACUGAUACAGGGCUCUUUUGGGUCUUGUAAUUGGAAUGAGUACAAUUUAAAUCCCUUAACGAGGAACAAUUGGAGGGCAAGUCUGGUGCCAGCAGCCGCGGUAAUUCCAGCUCCAAUAGCGUAUAUUAAAGUUGUUGUGGUUAAAAAGCUCGUAGUUGAACCUUGGGCCUGGCUGGCCGGUCCGCCUCACCGCGUGUACUGGUCCGGCCGGGCCUUUCCCUCUGUGGAACCCCAUGCCCUUCACUGGGUGUGGCGGGGAAACAGGACUUUUACUGUGAAAAAAUUAGAGUGCUCCAGGCAGGCCUAUGCUCGAAUACAUUAGCAUGGAAUAAUAGAAUAGGACGUGUGGUUCUAUUUUGUUGGUUUCUAGGACCGCCGUAAUGAUUAAUAGGGACAGUCGGGGGCAUCAGUAUUCAAUUGUCAGAGGUGAAAUUCUUGGAUUUAUUGAAGACUAACUACUGCGAAAGCAUUUGCCAAGGAUGUUUUCAUUAAUCAGGAACGAAAGUUAGGGGAUCGAAGACGAUCAGAUACCGUCGUAGUCUUAACCAUAAACUAUGCCGACUAGGGAUCGGACGGUGUUAUUUUUUGACCCGUUCGGCACCUUACGAGAAAUCAAAGUGCUGGGC